rnacentral:lncRNA from 1 species
UACAAUCAGAUACCGCUGGUUACGCACGUUCUGAAAUUUUAGCCAAAGAAAAUAAACCUCCCAGCGACAGGGAAACGAGAAAAGAAUGCUGACGCUUACGCACAGUGGCAGACACUUCAUUCUUAAGGAAGGGACAAACUUUUUCUUUUAGGCAGCCCUUUAAGCCUUUUCUUUUAGUCUAUUUUUUUUUUAAAGUUUUUUUUUUUUUUUUCUGUAAAUUAGCCCUUCUGCAAAAAUGAGGUUCCUACUGGUGAGACGGACUCCAGGCAGCCAACCGGGCCUGAAUCUGCCUGUCCUCGGGAGGUGAGGUGCUGGCGGGGAAGGACUCCUGCUGAGGAGGGUGAUCCACCUGGAGCCCAGUGUCGUCUGCAGUGGGCAGGAGUGCUGGGCAACAACUUCCUCCUGAAUAUCUGCUCUCAUUCUAUGCUCCAGCUGUAUGAACAGUUCACGGCAGUCUAACACCAGAAAUUAAAACUAAUCCACAGCUAUCUUGUCAGUCCUUCUGAAGUUUGACUACGAAGUCGGUAUCCCUAUCCUACCACUUGCUGGCUGCAUGACCCUGAGCAAGUUACUUAACCUCCUUGUACCUCAGUCCCCUCACCUAUAAAUGGGAAUCAUAUUUUCAACCCAUAAGCUAUGGUCGGGAUUAAGUAAAAUGAUGUGUCGGAGAGUUUGUGUAGAUAGCCUUUUACAAUGUAAUUGUGGCCAAGUAAAUCCCCAGCCCCCACAACUUGCUGUUUGGAAGUGGGGGCUGCGGGGAGAGGCAGGUCACUGGGGGCAUAGCCCAGAAGGCCUUUCUCCCCGGCUCCUCCCUUCUCUGUCUCUGCUUCCGGGUGCCAUGAAGUGAGCAGUUUCCUCUGCCCAGGCCCUUCUGCCAUGCUGUUUCUCCCUGCAGCCAGCCGACUAUGCAGGGUCUGUGACUUGUAAAACACGAACCAAACACAUCUUUCCUCCUUUAAGACACGAGUGUUGGGUACUGUAUCUCAGCAACGAAGAGACUAAGACAGGCAGUGAUCCUCCUGCCUCAGCCUCCAGAGUGCUGAGAUUACAGGUGUGCAUGAGAUUAAUUUCUAACUACAUUUUAAAAAUUACCCCAUUU